CGGGGGAUAACUAUUGGAAACGAUAGCUAAUACCGCAUAAUAGUAGAUGUUGCAUGACAUUUGCUUAAAAGGUGCAAUUGCAUCACUACCAGAUGGACCUGCGUUGUAUUAGCUAGUUGGUGAGGUAACGGCUCACCAAGGCGACGAUACAUAGCCGACCUGAGAGGGUGAUCGGCCACACUGGGACUGAGACACGGCCCACACUCCUACGGGAGGCAGCAGUAGGGAAUCUUCGGCAAUGGACGGAAGUCUGACCGAGCAACGCCGCGUGAGUGAAGAAGGUUUUCGGAUCGUAAAGCUCUGUUGUAAGAGAAGAACGAGUGUGAGAGUGGAAAGUUCACACUGUGACGGUAUCUUACCAGAAAGGGACGGCUAACUACGUGCCAGCAGCCGCGGUAAUACGUAGGUCCCGAGCGUUUCCGGAUUUAUUGGGCGUAAGCGAGCGCAGGCGGUUAGAUAAGUCUGAAGUAAAGGCUGUGGCUUACCAUAGUACGCUUUGGAAACUGUUUAACUUGAGUGCAAGAGGGGAGAGUGGAAUUCCAUGUGUAGCGGUGAAUGCGUAGAUAUAUGGAGGAACACCGGUGGCGAAAGCGGCUCUCUGGCUUGUACUGACGCUGAGGCUCGAAACGUGUGGAGCAACAGGAUUGAUACCUGGUAGUCCACGCCGUAACGAUGAGUGCUAUGUGUUAGACCCUUCCGGGUUUGUGCGCAGCUAAGCAUUAAGCACUCCGCCUGGGAGACGACCGCAAGUUGAAAUCAAAGAAUGAGGGGGCCCCACAACGGGGAGCAUGUGGUUAUUCGAACACGCGAGAACUUACCCGUUUGACAUCCCCUGACACUCUAAGAAAAGUUUCUUCGGAAAAGUG
rnacentral:rRNA from 1 species